CAUACAAACUACAGCGAGAAGUGAAGGAACGAAUUCCCUUUUCAAAAAAGGGGUUGGAGCUAAAUUUAGUGCUACUAGCUUUUUGAGAGAGUAUGACCGGAUACUUGAUGUUGUGCAUGACAGGGAAGAAGAAUGCGACCAUGUUAGUAGAAACAAGAAAGUUGCACAGAAAGCAUUUGGGUCAAAAUACAGCAUAGAAAGGCAAGCACAUGAGCUAUACAACAUUGGAAUAUUCAGGAAAUUCCAGUUUAAAAUGGCAGACACAACAAGGCUGCAUGUCUUUGAGCAAGAAAAGGACAAAUACUACAUUGUGACACAAGCUGAAAACUACCCCCAAAAGGAAAUCCGGAAAAGAGAAGAACAAUAACAAGACUUACAGCAAAAGCGUAGUGACAACCGCCAAACGUCACUGAUCUUUUGGAAGCAACUUUAGUGGAAUCCUUGAACUUUUUUAUGCAACUCAACAGCCACUCAUAAACAAAUCUCGACAGAUCAUAGUUACGCACAGAAGGACAAUCCCUGAAGAUAUGAAGGUACUUUGGGCUAGGACUGAGGCUAGAGUUGGGACAAAGGAACGAUGAGAAAGCAACAACCAUGAAACAAAUAAAGACAUCUUCAACAGGCAACUCGACUUCAGUUGAUUUUAGCUUGUUUGCAAAGAAGGACACGGGAGGAAUACUGGUCACGUUGAAGUGAGAGAGGAUAAAAUCACGGCCAGAAUCAGGAUCACACACAAGUGGCUCACCAUCUACGGGAAGGUCAAGGAUGUCAUGAAUAUCAUACUUGGUCAUUGGGAUAAAUUUCCUUUUGAGCUGGAAUUCAGAUGAAGGGACAUCGAACCUACUGGCAAGCCACUUCACUAACCUGAGGGGCACCUCGGUCCUAACAAACUCUAAGAGACAACCCAUGCCAUAUCUCUGGACAACACCACGAUACCUAUAACAGAGGCCAUCAACAACACCAGAGAAGAACUUCCCAGAAUAUCUAGUGAAAGUAGCACAAGUAGGGUAAUCACUGGAGCGUUUCUGCCUCUACAAAAACAACAAAAGAAAAACACCAUAUCAACCACUUCAAAUAAAUUACUUUGGAUUACUAUUACUGAGUACAAAAGAAUAAUUGGACGUACACCAGAAAAUCAGAAAAACAACAUGAGUGAAAACACAAAAUCAAACCAGUCAAAAUAAUUGCUUCAGAUUACUAUUACUUAGUACAAAAAGACAUUGCAAAAAACAUUGAAAAAAUGCAGUUACUAAGAAUUGGACUUACACUAUAAAAUAAAACAUAAAUGAUUAAGAUAGAACUUCAAGCAUUUUACUUUCAGAAGGUAAAACUAUUGAAAAUAAGAGUAAAUAGGAACUAACCACAUUCCUCCUUGAAGCAGAUGAUAAUUUCCUCUUCAAGCAUUCUACUUUCUGAAAAAGAAGAAAAACACAACUAUCACGCAAGAGAAGAGAAAAAAAUGUAAAAAAAUGGAACAAGAAUGAAAAGUCCUAGAUAAAAAUAAAACAUACUUGAUUAAGAUAGAACUUCAGAAGAGCUUUGUCAAGCCCUCCUUCGUCAUCAGAUAAUUCCUGCAGAAGCAACCAAUAAAGGAAAUAAGACAACCCCCAAAAAAUGAGGGGCAAUAAAACUAAAUUAAAAGAAGCACAAAAUAAAUAAUUAGCAUAGACACAGGGUAACAACCAUCUUCUGCAAAAUCAUUAGGCACAAAUGGUUCACCCCCAGAAUCUGCACUAUCUAGAGAUGAUACUACAGGAACAUCCCAAUGAGAAGCUUUUCGUAGCUUGCCCAUUUAAACCUACGAAAAAGGAAGGAUCACAAAAAAGGAAAAAGAAAAUAUAAGUAACAAUGAAAGGCAUCCAAUUAAAACUAAAAAAUAACACUGAAAAAAUGGGUUAUAUUACACUGUAAGAACUGGACAAAAAGACUGUAAUUACACUGUAAACUAGCACAAUUGCUCUGUAAAAACUAGCAUGAUUACACUAUAAGUAUUAGACAAAAAUACACUGUAAACCUAGCACAAUUACACUGUAAAAACUAGCACAAUUACACUGUAAGUAUUAGGCAAAAAAUACACUGUAAUUACACUGUAAAGCUAGCAGAAUUACACAGUAAAAACUAUCACAACUACAGUGUAAAAACUAAAGAUAAUGUAAAUGAGUGGAUUUACACUAUAAAUGAGUGGAUUUACACUGUAAAACUAGCACAAUUACACUGUAAAAAAUAAGAGAAAUUACAUUGUAAUACUAGAACAAAAAUACAUCCUUAACCAACAUUCAUGGUACAAAAAUCAAAACACCUAGGAAAAAUCACGGCCUACGAGAUAAAGCUUCACAUGAGCAACACAAUUAGACAACAUCACUAGACGAAAACGUUACAAUGAAGUACUGGACAUCAAUAGCUCCCCCAAAAAAGGUUUAUUACACUGCAAGUACUGGACAAAUGCAGUGUAAGACUAGCACAAAAAAGACACUGUAACUCUGACAUGAAUUACACUGCAAACAACAACACUGAAUAAACUAACCCAACAUCCAACACUGAAAUAAGAUGACAUAAAAAAUACAUUGAAAAUAAACUCAGAAUUCAUGCCCUCCCCUAGAAGUAAAUCAUGGCACAAAAGGGGGAUUAAACACCUACAGAUAGCAACAACAAAAA